rnacentral:lncRNA from 1 species
UAAAAGGGAGCCUUGGCCCCUCAGGUGGGGGGUGGGGGGGAAAAAUUACGCACCCUACAAACACUAUUCUUCUCCUCUCUACACUAUUUGCCCCCUCCCUGACUUGAGCGUCGGAGGGCCGGCGCCGGAAAACCCGGCCACCGGCUUGUCUGCAGGCACCCCAGACGGAGGACGCCGCCCGCCGACGGAUCGCCGCCCCACCGUGAGGACCUGCUGCUCCCUCUCUCCGACCACCCCAGACCGGAGGACGCCGUCCGCCGACCGGUCGCCGCCCCGCCGUGGUGACCUCCCGCUGCUCCCUCUCCUCGACCGAAGAUUGCCCCCGGGUCCAAUUUCCAGCAACAAAUAGAAACGGUAUUCACAUUUCCAGAAGAAAAUCUGAGAGGUGUUCUGAAAGGUUAGCUAAUUUGUAUAUCUACAUCAUUUAGUGUUGGCUACAAAAUCUGCCUGUUCAAUUCAGUGAUUUUAAUUCGUAACUACUGGUGUAUAAAUGCAUUAACAUAUGUUUUGGUGUCUAACUAACGAAUUUUCUUUGUGAUACUACGUGGAAGAAUUUUGUCUAACGAAUGUUAUCUCAGUGGCCUCCAUACAAAUAACGCUCAUUUUGACUACCUUGCUAAAGUCUCUCUCUCUC